UAUUACAAAUAUAUUCAUGGCUUUGAAUUAACCUCUAGCCAAAAUAAAUUUAGUUACACAUUAUUAAAACAUAAAUAAAAUAUAAGUUUGGAAAGAUUUAACCGAAAGAGGAGAGUGCUUCAGUGCUCUGUCUGUGCCCAGCGCCCUCUGUUUUCUGUGCGCACUGCUAAUCUCCCCCGAGGCUCACGCCUCCUCUGAUUGGAUACACGCUGCAAGGCAGCUUUUGAAUUCCUCUCCUUUCUUUCUCGCUGCCUAAGGCGGCUUGGUGCCUUUUGUUUUUCUCUGUGCCGAGGCUUCACGCUGCACCAGGCAGCUCUUCUUCUCCUCGUCCUUUUCUCCUCUUCUUCUUUUCUUUUUUUAUUCUUUUUCGCUGGUAGCUUUGCUGCUUCUUUUCCGUCCAUUAGCUUCUCUUUUCUUUCCUCCACCAUUCCUUUCUUUAUGUUUUUUUUUUUUUCAUCAUUCCAUGUCUCCCACUUAUUUAUUUUCUUAUUCUUCUUUCUCCGCGCACAGUCCGCAAGUCUCUCCCCUUCCUCUUUUAUUAUUCAAUUUCUUGAUAGUCCACUCCCUUCCUUUGUUUAAUGCCGUGUUGCACUCUGUCUUUUCUCUAUUCUUUUCUGCGUUUGAAAUUAAUCCUACAACAAAAUUAACUGUACAUUAACACAAAGUAAUGUAAAAUGUCACAAUUUUAACACAAAAACAUCCAAAGACUUUAGAAAUGAAUGAUAUAAAUGCAUGAAAUAUAUGAGUGAUCAAAUACCCCCAAACUUACAUUUUUGCUAGUCCUCUAGCAAAACAAAGAAAACAUGAAAAAGUAAUAACAUGAAAAAUAUUAGCUUCCCUCUAUGUGACCCUCAUAGAAUUUCAUUCAAGAAAACAAAUCAUCAAGAACCAUAGCUAGCAUCAAGGAACUAAUCCAAGUUCAUCUUCCUUAUUCAAUUAUUAGCAGUAAUCUUUGAAUCAUCCUUGAAGUGUAGUGUGUGAGAUAGCCAUGCUAAUGCAAUUUCAAAAUUUUAUAUUUUUAAAAUCAUCAUAUGCAAACUAGCAACCUUCUCACGGGAUAUACACUCAA
rnacentral:lncRNA from 1 species